GGCCCUUCGCAGAGGGAAGCAGAGAUUUGUAGCGGUGACAGAGCUCAAAGUGAAAAACUUAGAGAUAAAAUAUUUUGGAUAGUAUGCUUUUCCUAUCAACAAAAACAACUAAGAGUUCUCAAUAUCUUCCAUGCUAAACAAAUCAUAAGCGGUUCCCAAACUGAAAAUAAAGUUUAUUCCUUUUCCAUCAUUAUUUCACAUUUCACGGCUAUCCACAUCCACGGGUACCGUCCAUACCAAUAUUUUUCAAGAAAUUUAUUAUUUGACAACAUAAAAUAAAUUUUCUUUGCAUUUCAGGACUAGGCAUCCCGAUUACCGCCAUACCCUCGUGCAAUGACAAGUGAAUGAACAAUCUCUUGAAAAUAACCAUGUAACUCCGUGUUUAUGAUAGAUACAGAAAGCAUCUCCAGAGCACGAGACGUAGGUCUGUUAUCUUCAUCGUGAGAGGUCCGAACUCGCUAAAACACUCGUGUCAUCCAUUUACAUCUCGAUAGAUCAUGCUCAUUUAUCUUACCCUUUUCUAUUAUCGAAAUCAAUACCACGGCACCAAGCGCAAGCCCUGUUCAUCCAGCUACUUCGUGUCUCGGCAAACACCAACCACCAUGCAUCCCUUUCACCCUUUCCAUUCCAAAUUCCAAUGCCCCCACUCGGCGGCUCUCGACGGCUUCUCGUCGCCAAAAAAAAAAAGGAGCCCUAUCUUCUCUCUGCCACCCGAUCGAGCCCAAAAGCCGGCAGAGAGAUAGAGAAACAAGGUCGAAAUGCGCUUUCUGAUCAGCUUCUACUCGUACUAUCGUUGAUCAUGUGGGAUUCAUACGCCUUUGAGGGGAAGGAGCAGGCUCACGCAAAAGCAGGCGCACCGAGCGCGAAAGGUGGGGGCGACGGUGGGAGGUGACACGAUGCAUGCAUGAUCCGGGGGCGUCGAGAUAAGCAUACGUGCUGGUCUCGUCUGGCUUCGAUCGGUUCUACCGUUUCCUUAGCCGUGUGUACGUAUGCUUCGAUCGGUCCUGCGUGAGAUCAUCCAACCUUUUCUUUCCAGCCGACAGCCCACGAUUAUGUUUUCUAAUCGGCGAAAGACGAAAGUGGUCAAGAAAGGUCUAUAUGAGUCGUCGUACUGUGGAUACCCUUUGUGAUGAGUCUAUAAUAUUAUGCAUGUAC
rnacentral:lncRNA from 1 species